UAAAGGGCGCCUUCGGGGCGUUUCGGCGGAGAGGGUACCGCGGCUGUGGUCUCGUCCGGCUGGCUUGCUCGGCCCGGACUCUUAGUGGCCCAGGUGUCUCUUACUGGGCGAAGCAGAACAGUGGCGCUGUCCGAGGGCAGGGCGACGCGGAAACCGAAAGCUCCCGCUGCGGGUGGUGGUCGAGGCCGUGUCGCCCGCACUUGGGAGGGACCGGUGGAGGAGCUACGACAGGACAAUGCAAGGAGCCGUUCCAGGUAGAGGAAACAUCAUCACUGAAGCAAGGAGACAGGAGAGGACUGGAUGCUGCGUAACAGGAAAUUGUAGCCUGUCACUGUGGAGCACACUCACUCACUGCCUUCAGACCAUGUGGGCGGCUCCGUAACGUCCCUCUGAGCCUCGCUCCACAUCUUGGUUUGGGUGCUCCUGGUUUGCAAACUAUCCUUCUGCACCGGGCCCGAGACUCCGGACCUCCUCUUCCCAUCGGAACUGACACUGGGAGCCCUUAAAAUGUGCCACGUGCGCUGUGUCUGUGAUAUUGUCUAACCCUCACGGGAUCCCAGGAGGUCACCUUUAGUAUCUGCUUUACAGACGAAGAAACCAAAGCACUGACAAUUCACUCCCAUCUGUUCACCAAGGAGUCUGGACGUGACGUGAUCUCCAGCCCAGACCCACGGCACAACUGCAUGCGACAUCCCACGGACAUCACCAGACUUGCCCUUUCUGGACAUUUCGUACCAGUGGCUCGCACAGUAGGGCGUCCUUGGUGCCUGGCUCCUUUCACUUAGCAUCAUGUUUUCAAAGUCCAUCCAUGUUGUGUCGGUGCUUCGUUCCUUUUUACGGCUGAACGAUGUUCCGUGGUGUGGAUGUGCCACACUGUGUUUGUCGCUUAUCUGUGGAUGUGUGUUUGGGUCAUUUGCACCUUUUAGCUAUUGUGAUUAGUGCUGCUGUGAACAUGAGCGUACAAGUAUCUGCUCGAGUCACUGCUUUCACAUAACUGCCAGGUCAUACGGAAACUCUGACUUGCUGAGGAACUGCCAAACUGUCUUCCACGGUGGCUGCCCCAUUUUACAUUCUCACCGGCAAUGUACAGGGCUCUGGUUUCUCCACACCCACGUCGACACUUGUUAUUUUCCACUUUUUAAUUUUUAUUUAUUUUCAUUAUUUUUUGGUGGGGGAGGUAAUUGGGUUUUUGUUUAUUUUAAUGGAGAUCUUAGGAACUGAACCCAGGACCUCGUGCAUGUUAAGCAUGCAUUGUACCGCUAAGCUACACCCCCCAGUCUUGAUUUUUUCAAUUUUUAAUUAUAGCACCUGCAGGUCACAACACGGUAUUUUGCUGUGACUUUGAUUUACGUUUCCCUGAGGACUGAUGGUUUUGAACAUCUUUUCACCUGCUCAUCGGCCAUUUGUAAAUCUUUUCUGAAGAGAUGCCAGCAUGGAUUUGAUGGUCGCCUUGCCCGUGAUUCCUUGUGUGGUGGUGGUUUCAGAUCUCAGUCCUGCCAUGAUCACUUGCUCUUGGGAAAGCCUUUCUACAGAGCCCAGCGUCAGACCCCGGAGCUGGAGCUUUCUGGGAACCUGACUCCACACAGCCCCCACACGUGCUGCUGCUCCCCCCGCCCAGUGGCAGACAUCACCAAUCAGCUGUGGCCCCUGCACGCCCGGACGCUUAUUCACUGGGCCCAGCAGCUGGGCAAUUGGAUGGGUAUCUGCCCUGGGUGAGCUCAUUACGAGGAGAAGAAGAAGAGAUGAGUGGACCUAGGUUUUCAGGAGCUCAGGCAGAAGUCCACACUGGGGACAGGGCACCCCGGGGAGGGUUCUGUUGUACCCAAGGGGGCACAGAGGCAGUGGUUGGGGUUUGGGGGUCUGGUAAAUAACAUCCUGCCCACGUUCUGAACCAAGUGAGACGAGACACAAAGUCAAGCAGAUCAAAUUGUCAGCUUCAUUACUGAUAAAGCCAGGCUGACCCACAACGAGAUAUCCUGCACACCCAGUAGAACGGCUAUAACCGAAAAGACAGGUGAUGACAGAUAUUGACAAGGAUGUGCAGAAACGGGAAUCCUCAAUCCAUCUGGCGAGGACAAGAUGGGAUAGCCGCUGUGGAAAACAAUCCAGUGGCUCCUCAGUUAAGCACAGAGUUACCACAUGACCCAGCAGUUCCACGUCUAAGGGCACAUCCUAGAGAACUGAGAACACAUUCCCGUAAAAACUUGUCCACAAACAUUCAUAGCGCCACAAUUCAUGCCGUGGAAGAGUGGAAACAAGCAACGGUCCAUCAGCUGAUGAAUACAUAAAGUGUGGUCUGUCCAUUCAGUGGAAUAGCAGCCCGUCAUAAAAAGAGAAUGGAGACCCAGCGCCUGCUACAACAUGAUGACUCGUGACAACAUUACGCAAGAUGAAAGAAGCCCGCCACAAAAGGCCACGUUAUGUGAUUCCACUUACAUGAAAUGUUCAGGACAGGCAAAUUCAGAGACAGGAAGUAGAUUAGUAGCCGGGCAAGGCUGAGGGGAGGGAAGGCAAGGAAGUUAACUGUUAAGGGGUAUGAGGUGUGGACAAAGAGUGUCACUUGCCGUCUCAGUACACAAAGGAUGCUGCGGCCAUCAAGCCCUCAGCCACUGCAGCCGCCCGGCUGUGCACCCCGAGCGGAUUCAGGACAGAGGAAAACAGGACACUGGCCCUAGAGAGUUAACACGCACAUCAAAGGAAUGAUUCCAUUAAGCCCAGAUGCCGGCACCUUCCCGUACGUAGAGAAGUGCUAAGUCCACUAACUUGGGAUGUCUGGUUUUCUCUAACUGGCAGUAAUCUUUUGAUGUUUGACUACCUGAUUGGUUUUUUGACUUUGUUUUGUUUUUUGUUGGGGUUUUGUUUGUUUGUUUUGCCAAACUUCCUGUAUCUCCUGGCUCCUCCCUUGCCUGUUUGGGACAGUCCCACAGAGCUCUGUGAGAGGCUGUCUCCCGGCCUUAAGUCCUCAGCAAGUCCGCUGAGUAAAGCAUAAUUUUCAGCUUUUAGGUUGUGCAUUUUUUCCAGUUGACAGAGAUUUCUUCAUGGGUGAUGAAAAUGUCCUAGAAUCAAUUAUGAUAAAUAUACUAAUAAACAGUGAGCUGUAUACUUUGAA